GAUGAACGCUGGCGGCGUGCCUAAUACAUGCAAGUCGAGCGAACAGACGAGGAGCUUGCUCCUCUGACGUUAGCGGCGGACGGGUGAGUAACACGUGGAUAGCCUACCUAUAAGACUGGGAUAACUUCGGGAAACCGGAUCUAAUACCGGAUAAUAUAUUGAACCGCAUGGUUCAAUAGUUAAAGACGGUUUUGCUGUCACUUAUAGAUGGAUCCGCGCCGCAUUAGCUAGUUGGUAAGGUAACGGCUUACCAAGGCAACGAUGCGUAGCCGACCUGAGAGGGUGAUCGGCCACACUGGAACUGAGACACGGUCCAGACUCCUACGGGAGGCAGCAGUAGGGAAUCUUCCGCAAUGGGCGAAGGCCUGACGGAGCAACGCCGCGUGAGUGAUGAAGGUCUUCGGAUCGUAAAACUCUGUUAUUAGGGAAGAACAAAUGUGUAAGUAACUAUGCACGUCUUGACGGUACCUAAUCAGAAAGCCACGGCUAACUACGUG
rnacentral:rRNA from 1 species